GGUAAGGCAACGGGUUUUGAUCCCGUCAUGCGCAGGUUCAAAUCCUGCCAGCCCAGCCA
rnacentral:tRNA from 1 species